rnacentral:rRNA from 1 species
AACGUAGGAGACAAACGUUAUCCGGAGUUACUGGGCGUAAAGGGCGUGUAGGUGGUUUCGUAAGUCUGGCGUGAAAUAUCUCGGCUUAACCGAGGCAGGUCGUCGGAUACUGCGGGACUAGAGGACGGUAGAGGCGUGUGGAAUUCCGGGUGUAGUGGUGAAAUGCGUAGAGAUCCGGAGGAACACCUGUGGCGAAGGCGUCCAUCUGGCCCGUUACUGACGCUGAGGCGCGAAAGCUAGGGGAGCAAACGGG